rnacentral:rRNA from 1 species
UACAGAGGGUGCGAGCGUUAAUCGGAAUUACUGGGCGUAAAGGGCUCGUAGGCGGCCAACUAAGUCAGACGUGAAAUCCCCAGGCUCAACCUGGGAACUGCGUCUGAUACUGGAUGGCUUGAAUUCGGGAGAGGGAUGCAGAAUUCCAGGUGUAGCGGUGAAAUGCGUAGAUAUCUGGAGGAAUACCGGUGGCGAAGGCGGGUCUCUGGGCCGAGAUCGACGCUGAGGAGCGAAAGCGUGGGGAGCGAACAGG